ensembl:lncRNA
AAAAUGCUGUUUUUGGAAAAGUGAUUAAUUGUUUAUUUAUUUUUGUAUGCAGAAAGGCUGGAUGUGAAUCACUGACUGGGCUGUCCCAAGCCUGCAGGUGUUCUGGAGUGAACGAAGGAUAUUUCUAUCUACUCCUAGAUGCGAUUUGAGGGCAAGGAACCUACUUCCAGGACUGAAGAGUGUACUGGUGGUGCAAGACACACAAUGUUCCCAUUGUGUGUUUCUCUCUUCAUUAUGCUUUAAUUUUUCUCAAGCUUCCCAUGGUUGUUACAGCCAUGGGAAUAAUGGCACAAUGUGAAGUGACAAAAAAUAGACAUUUCGCUGUUUUGUUACUGACUUUCACAUAGCGCAUGUUUGAAGGCUGUGAAUGAGAUAGUUUUCUGCUGUCUGGAAAGAAGAGGGCAGGAAAAACAACUUUCAGAUUUUGCUAAAUUUAGUCACUAAAUUUUGAAAGGCUGAUUAGAAAAACGCCUGACUGAAAAGUUUAAUUUUGAAUCAAGCUGCAAGAAUAAGCUGUAGUUUAGAAAAGCGUCCCAACGUGAAUGACUUCCUCAAAGCUCUUUUUUUCUGGUCCACUCCAACUCUGUUCUAGCAUCUUCCAAG